rnacentral:rRNA from 1 species
CACGUAGUUGGCCGGGGCUUCUUAGUCAGGUACCGUCUUGUCUCGUUCCUGCUGAUAGAGCUUUACAUACCGAAAUACUUCUUCACUCACGCGGCGUCGCUGCAUCAGGGUUUCCCCCAUUGUGCAAUAUUCCCCACUGCUGCCUCCCGUAGGAGUUUGGGCCGUGUCUCAGCCCCAAUGUGGCCGUCCACCCUCUCAGGCCGGCUACUGAUCGUCGCUUUGGUAGGCCGUUACCCUGCCAACUGGCUAAUCAGACGCGGGUCCAUCCCAUACCACCGGAGUUUUUCACGCAGGAGCAUGCGCUCCCGUGCGCUUAUGCGGUAUUAGCACCUGUUUCCCAGGUGGUAUCCCCCGGUAUGGGGCAGGUUACCCACGCGUUACUCACCCGUCCGCCACUAAGAUACUCAUUUCCAAAGUGCAAGCACUCCUUCCAUAAGCACUCCCCGUUCGACUUGCUAUGUGUUAAGCACGCCCGCCAGCCGUUCACUUCCUGACGCCCGAGGACUCGAAACUCUACCG